rfam:Triticum aestivum genome assembly, contig: Triticum_aestivum_CS42_TGACv1_scaffold_178143_2DS
AUGCUACUCCCUCCCUCUGAAAAAGCUUGUCCCUCAAAUCGAUGUAUCUAGCACCAAAUUAGUGGUAGAUACAUCCAUUUGAAGAACAAGCUUGGGACAAGCUUUUCCGGACAGAGGGAGUAUGUU